rnacentral:rRNA from 1 species
GGAGUCUAACAUGUGCGCAAGUCAUUGGGUAAAUAAACCUAAAGGCGAAAUGAAAGUAAAGAAAGCUUUGCUUUUUGAGGGAGGAUGGUCACUUAGCUUCUAGCGGUGGCCCGCACUCCCGGGGCGUCUCUUUCUCAUUGCGAGUGGAGGCGCACCAAGAGCGUACACGUUAGGACCCGAAAGAUGGUGAACUAUGCCUGGUCAGGACGAAGCCAGGGGAAACCCUGGUGGAGGUCCGUAGCGAUUCUGACGUGCAAAUCGAUCGUCAGAGCUGGGUAUAGGGGCGAAAGACUAAUCGAACCAUCUAGUAGCUGGUUCCCUCUGAAGUUUCCCUCAGGAUAGCUGGUGCCCAAGAGACAAGAGUCUCAUCCGGUAAAGCGAAUGAUUAGAGGCAUUGGGGCCGAAACGACCUCAACCUAUUCUCAAACUUUAAAUAGAUGAGAUCUUUGGCUUGCUUAAAAGUGAAGUCAAAGACUUGGAUCAGGGUGCCCAGUGGGCCAAUUUUG